rnacentral:rRNA from 1 species
AACGAACGCUGGCGGCGCGCCUAACACAUGCAAGUCGAACGAGAAUCCGGGGCAACCCGGUAGUAAAGUGGCAAACGGGUGAGGAAUACAUGGGUAACCUACCCUUGAGAAGGGAAUAACCCGCCGAAAGGUGAGCUAAUACCCUAUACGCUAUCUUUUUUUUCGAAAAGGAUAGGAAAGCCGGGUCGAGGACCUGGUACUCAAGGAGGGGCUCAUGUCCUAUCAGCUUGUUGGUGGGGUAACGGCCUACCAAGGCUACGACGGGUAGCUGGUCUGAGAGGAUGAUCAGCCACACUGGCACUGAGAUACGGGCCAGACUCCUACGGGAGGCAGCAGUGAGGAAUAUUGCGCAAUGGGCGAAAGCCUGACGCAGCGACGCCGCGUGCGGGAUGAAGGUCUUCGGAUUGUAAACCGCUGUCGGAGGGAUGAAGUGCAUCAGGGCAAUCCCUGGUGUUUGACAGAGCCUCGGAGGAAGCACGGGCUAAGUUCGUGCCAGCAGCCG